AAGAUCGCGGCAAUGGAUCCAAAUGCCGCUUAGUUCCGGAAUUGCUUGGACACGUCCGCUUUCCAUUCCACUCACUCCUCACCGCUUUCCUUUCUCCCCAUUGCACUGCCUUCGUUUCCGCAUCCAAAGCCUGCAACGGCAACGGCAACGGCAACACCCCCAUUUCUGAACCGCUUCCAUCUCCUUCCGACGGACUCGCUGCCUCUGGACUCAACCUCACUCCCAAUGGCUCUGUCGCAGCCGUCGCCGUCGGCUUCCACGUUUCCAGUUCGCGAAGACUGUUGGACUUUGGACGAUACUUCCACUCUCGUCUAUGCCUGGGGCGAACGUCAUCUCGACUUGAACCGCGGCAGCCUUAGGUAUAAACACUGGCAAGAGGUCGCCGACGCUGUCAACUCCUGUCAUAAUCAUGAGAGGAAGUCAAUUCGUACGGCUAUUCAGUGUAAAAACCGUAUCGAUACGCUUAAGAGGAAGUACAAGAUCGAGAAGGCGAGAAUUCAAGAAUCCGGUGGAACGUACGUCAGCGCUUGGCCGUUCUUCUCUUGUCUCGACAGUCUUAUAGGCGGCAACAGCCAUAAGUCUUCGACGCCGGCCGCCGUUUCUUACUGUAAAGCCUUGACAGCCACGACUCCAGGGUUGUCGCUGUUCCCGAAAAUUCCGGUUGGUCCUCGAUCCGGGACUAAGAAACGUCGUUUGAGUCACGUCUACGGGAGUUUCUGCAAUUCGCACCUUAGCCAGGAUUUAAACUCGAAACACGAUGAAGGAAAAGACGGUAUGUAUUCCGAGAAUCAUUUCUCGAGUCCGAGGUUCAAGGACCGAGACGUAGGGUACCGGAAACUGGCUGACGCAAUAGGGACGAUUGCCGAUAUAUUUGAGAGAGUGGAGGUAGCAAAACAGAGACACAUGGUAGAAUUGGAGAUGCAGCGGAUGCAGUUCGUGAAGGAUUUGGAGUAUCAGAGAAUGCAACUACUCAUGGAGAUGCACCUUCAGAUGCAAAAAAUCAAGUGCUCCAGGCGAGAUUCAGGAGCUGGAAUCAAGAGGAUGGACUCCAUUGGAAGAUCUUCUUUGACAUGGUCAUCCACAAACUUUGAAGAAGAUUGUUACUCGUAGUCGACAACGUAGCAAAGACGCAAAGACUUCUUUUAUCCGAACGAGAGAAAAAGUAGUACAUACAUGGCGGUUUAGCUCUUUUUUUCUAAAAAAAAGCACACAUCCUCUCACCCUUGAUGCUGGUUCCAAACUCUCAUGAUUUUCAGCUUGUUUUGGGCGAAGGAUUUUGUGGAGCUGAGGUUUGGAUUAACCAGCAUUUCUUGUGAAGCUUCCAACAUCUUAACGUAGUGGGCAAAGGAAACUACUUUUUACUUUCCCGUAAUGGGUAAUGGUGUCGACAAAGGAUACAGAGCUUGCAGAACAACAGACAAAGAGGAAAUAGAGAGUAGAAAAUUGAAGCAAAAUAAAUAUUUGGCUCAUCCAAAAGUUAUUAGACUACAGUUUGGUCUCGCUCGGUUGGAUGUAUGAGAGAAAUUACUUAACUUGUUAGCUACCGUACUGCACAGGUUGAAAUGCACAGCAUCUAAGGGCGAGGACUAUUGGGGUAUCUAAUCAUAUUCGCUUUCCUAGCUUUUGUCUUUCAGUGUCGGUUUAGUAAAGUGCUUUCACCGUCGUUGUAUCUUUUCGAUC